rnacentral:rRNA from 1 species
GUCCACGCCCUAAACGAUGUCAACUGGGUGUUGGGGAAGCGAUUUCUCAGUACCGUAGCUAACGCGUGAAGUUGACCGCCUGGGGAGUACGGCCGCAAGGUUAAAAACUCAAAGGAAUUGACGGGGACCCGCACAAGCGGUGGAUGAUGUGGAUUAAUUCGAUGCAACGCGAACAACCUUACCUACCCUUGACAUGUCCGGAAGCCCGCUGAGAGGCGGGGGUGCUCGAAAGAGAACCGGAACACAGGUGCUGCAAUGGCUGUCGU